GGCCUAUGGGCUAUCCGUUUCGGCCUGACGAGGACGUCAGGAAUUUAAGUGGGGGAGUUUGUAACACCCCAGUCCCACAUCGAGUCGUGUGGAGACUUUAGUUCAGUUUAUAAGCAUAAGUACUACUACCAACUGCACCAACAAAUCACGAUCUUUUGGGGGCCUGUGGUGGGCUUGUGGAUUACCCAAGUUGUUGCAGUUGGGCCAGUAUAUUUAGGCUUAUUUUCGGAUUCGGAUUUCGGGACUUGACCCGAUUUUCGAAAAAGGCUCGGGAUUUGACCCGGGUUGUUUCAUAUGGUAUCAGAGCGAGGCUCUCGAAAGCUUGAUUCGUCAAGUUGCCGGAGGUGGGGACACGAAGGCUGGUGGUAUUAUCCGCAAUGGAGAGAGAUCCGGAGGCGGGGACACGAAGCCAGCCGGUAUUAUCCCACAAUGGCUAGAGAGGUUCGAUCUGGGCCUAUGGGCUAUCCGUUUCGGCCUGACGAGGACGUCAGGAAUUUAAGUGGGGGAGUUUGUAACACCCCAGUCCCACAUCGAGGAGUGUGGCGACUUUAGUUCAGUUUAUAAGCAUAAGUACUACUACUAAUUGCACCAACAAAUCAUGAUCUUUUGGGGGCCUGUGGUGGGCUUGUUGAUUACCCAAGUUGUUGCAGUUGGGCCAGUAUAUUUGGGCUUAUUUUCGGAUUCGGAUUUCGGGACUUGACCCGAUUUUCGAAAAAGGCUCGGGAUUUGACCCGGGUUGUUUCAUAUAUAGUGUUUAGUGAUUUAUAAAAUAAUUGUUUCAUUUUUUGUAUUGCAACGUGGUAUUAUCCGCAAUGGAGAGAGAUCCGGAGGCGGGGACACGAAGCCAGCCGGUAUUAUCCCACAAUGGCUAGAGAGGUUCGAUCUGGGCCUAUGGGCUAUCCGUUUCGGCCUGACGAGGACGUCAGGAAUUUAAGUGGGGGAGUUUGUAACACCCCAGUCCCACAUCGAGGAGUGUGGCGACUUUAGUUCAGUUUAUAAGCAUAAGUACUACUACUAAUUGCACCAACAAAUCAUGAUCUUUUGGGGGCCUGUGGUGGGCUUGUUGAUUACCCAAGUUGUUGCAGUUGGGCCAGUAUAUUUGGGCUGUUAUAGUUGGUAUUCAGAGCUCAGGUUAUGAUUCUGUAGACUAGCCUCUAGGCAUUUGACCUGUGAGUUUGGGUUGACUUCGUAUGGGUAGAAAUAAGAAUUUUGAUAUAGUCCACUAUUUACUCUAUGAAUUUACUCAUGAUGAAUGUUGCAGGAUGCCGCCUAGAAGAGAUACCACAAGACAACAGAUGGACAGAGAGACUUUCUUGGACAUGGUUAGGGAAGUUGCGAAUCAACAAAGACAGAACCCAGGCGCUAAUAAUGUGCCAAAUCAAGAAGGUCAAACUAUGUUCGACCGUUUUAUGAAGCAAAGGCCUAACUGUUUCAAGGAAGCCAAACACCCUAUGGAUGCGGAGGCUUGGAUCGAUCACAUGG
rnacentral:lncRNA from 1 species